rnacentral:lncRNA from 1 species
GGAGAGCAGCAAGAGAAAGAAAGAGAGAGGCAAGCGAAAUUCCUGAAUGGAUAGACAGAUGCUACGUCAUCGGAGCUGCAUCCUCCACUCCACAAGAGGCUAGGAGCUGGGGGGAGAGAGGCAGUCCAGCCGCAGGGGCCACCCGAACAGUCUCUCCUCCUCACAGAAGCCUGGAGCUGGGCAUCCAAGAAGAAGCAGCCUCAUUUGUUUUCUGGUGUCAUCGUAGGUGGCCACCUAUGGCUUUUGGGCUUCUCACCUGGGGCGGGUGGGUUCUGCACCACCCUCCCACCCUCCUUCCUCCGUGUGGACGAUAGAGCCACAUCCAGCACCACGGACAGCUCCCGGGCGCACUGGAAGCUGAGGGUUUUGACAGCGGCAGGCCACAUAGGCAAGGAAGCUGGUGCAUGCAGUGUCUCUGGGCAAGGUUAUGCAAACCAAAAAGAAGAAUGUACUUCAUCUGGUUGGGCUGGAUUCCCUCUGAUAAGCCUUCCCAGUUGACUGAAAGAUGAGGCUAGGCUCUAGCAAGUUGAAGUCAAACCAGCUCCUUCAAGAAGCUUUGAGCAGAAUGAAGUGGGGAGGACCCAGCUUCCAGCCCAGGAAGCCCACUGUACCUGGAGCCAUCUGGGAUAAGACUUUGACCCAUGACUCCCAUAUCCACAGCCUGUCCAUCCUAGCCCAUCCCAGUUUAUCCUGUAUCAUUUGAGCUGGGAUUCCCACAUCCUCUGAGUUGGAAGUCCCAUCUCAAGUCUUCAAUAAAGACUCUUGAAUAUUGAAUCACAUUAAAAAAAAAA